AGAACGAACGCUGGCGGCAUGCCUAAUACAUGCAAGUCGAACGAACUCUUCGGAGUUAGUGGCGCACGGGUGCGUAACGCGUGGGAAUCUGCCCCUUGGUUCGGAAUAACAGUUGGAAACGACUGCUAAUACCGGAUGAUGACGAAAGUCCAAAGAUUUAUCGCCAAGGGAUGAGCCCGCGUAGGAUUAGCUAGUUGGUGAGGUAAAGGCUCACCAAGGCAACGAGUCCUUAGCUGGUCUGAGAGGAUGAUCAGCCACACUGGGACUGAGACACGGCCCAGACUCCGUACGGGAGGCAG
rnacentral:rRNA from 1 species